rnacentral:rRNA from 1 species
AGAGUUUGAUCCUGGCUCAGAUUGAACGCUGGCGGCAGGCCUAACACAUGCAAGUCGAGCGGUAGCACAGAGAGCUUGCUCUCGGGUGACGAGCGGCGGACGGGUGAGUAAUGUCUGGGAAACUGCCUGAUGGAGGGGGAUAACUACUGGAAACGGUAGCUAAUACCGCAUAAUGUCGCAAGACCAAAGUGGGGGACCUUCGGGCCUCAUGCCAUCAGAUGUGCCCAGAUGGGAUUAGCUAGUAGGUGGGGUAACGGCUCACCUAGGCGACGAUCCCUAGCUGGUCUGAGAGGAUGACCAGCCACACUGGAACUGAGACACGGUCCAGACUCCUACGGGAGGCAGCAGUGGGGAAUAUUGCACAAUGGGCGCAAGCCUGAUGCAGCCAUGCCGCGUGUGUGAAGAAGGCCUUCGGGUUGUAAAGCACUUUCAGCGGGGAGGAAGGCGGUGAGGUUAAUAACCUCAUCGAUUGACGUUACCCGCAGAAGAAGCACCGGCUAACUCCGUGCCAGCAGCCGCGGUAAUACGGAGGGUGCAAGCGUUAAUCGGAAUUACUGGGCGUAAAGCGCACGCAGGCGGUCUGUCAAGUCGGAUGUGAAAUCCCCGGGCUCAACCUGGGAACUGCAUUCGAAACUGGCAGGCUAGAGUCUUGUAGAGGGGGGUAGAAUUCCAGGUGUAGCGGUGAAAUGCGUAGAGAUCUGGAGGAAUACCGGUGGCGAAGGCGGCCCCCUGGACAAAGACUGACGCUCAGGUGCGAAAGCGUGGGGAGCAAACAGGAUUAGAUACCCUGGUAGUCCACGCCGUAAACGAUGUCGAUUUGGAGGUUGUGCCCUUGAGGCGUGGCUUCCGGAGCUAACGCGUUAAAUCGACCGCCUGGGGAGUACGGCCGCAAGGUUAAAACUCAAAUGAAUUGACGGGGGCCCGCACAAGCGGUGGAGCAUGUGGUUUAAUUCGAUGCAACGCGAAGAACCUUACCUGGUCUUGACAUCCACAGAACUUUCCAGAGAUGGAUUGGUGCCUUCGGGAACUGUGAGACAGGUGCUGCAUGGCUGUCGUCAGCUCGUGUUGUGAAAUGUUGGGUUAAGUCCCGCAACGAGCGCAACCCUUAUCCUUUGUUGCCAGCGGUCCGGCCGGGAACUCAAAGGAGACUGCCAGUGAUAAACUGGAGGAAGGUGGGGAUGACGUCAAGUCAUCAUGGCCCUUACGACCAGGGCUACACACGUGCUACAAUGGCAUAUACAAAGAGAAGCGACCUCGCGAGAGCAAGCGGACCUCAUAAAGUAUGUCGUAGUCCGGAUUGGAGUCUGCAACUCGACUCCAUGAAGUCGGAAUCGCUAGUAAUCGUAGAUCAGAAUGCUACGGUGAAUACGUUCCCGGGCCUUGUACACACCGCCCGUCACACCAUGGGAGUGGGUUGCAA